UUCGUAAACAAACCAACGCCGAGUUCAGGUCGCAGUGGACUACCGAAACCCCUUCUCAACCUCCUGGGCAACGAGGGAGUGGUCGUCAAUGGUGUAUCUACAUAACAAGGGAAGAUGUAGAAGUACGUCGAGGCGCUGUGCGGAGCGCGGAUGCUUACGAGCACCCUAAGGGGUCGGUGCUUGAACAUUCCGUUUGCAACAGAAUCUGGUCUGGUUAGGGUUUCAAAUUGAAGACAACUACGAAAAAUAGCCUUUAGCGUGGUUUGUUCAGUAAGCUCGAGAUUUGUCCUCCUCCGCUCUUCCUACUGGAUUGGAAUUAAGCCGAGGCCCAAACUAUAGUUCGCGGCGCACCGUGAAUCUACCGGCGAAUCCGCGAGGGUUCGCGGUUACACCCAGCUACCUUUUUGGGUGCAGUUAUAGUUAAAACACCAUCCGAGGACAGGCUCGAGGUAACGUUCUCGACGUUGUGGGACGAGGGCAAGACGUAUCGUCUGACGAAGUGCCUGCUGAUAAAGCCGUGCUCGUCUCGCUUCUCUUCGUGCUUGGCCUCGACUAUAACGUUCUCGCCGACCGUCUUCACCGUGAUCUCCUCCGGUGAAAAUUGCUGAACAUCCAAAAUUACCUGCACAGACCGACAUAUGAGAUAUCAUUCCUGCCGCCUCGUAAGCGCACACAGAAAGAAACCGCGACGGAUUGUCAGUACCCCCGCGUUGCCCCCCAGGAGUCUUAGACCCCUCCGGAAAUUACUCUCGCCAUCCUAAUCUAGAAAAGAAAAAAAAGAAAACCACCCGUCGGUGAUCCUCCGCUCACCCCGGAUGAUCGUCGACGAGGACGGCGCGUACGCUCCGGCGGAAAUAACCGACUAAAGAAAUCUCACUUCACCAGACCGAACCCCAGGAGUCUCCUCACGCGAGUCGUCCUAGGAUAACAUCUGACCGUGAAGGGAGCUCUCUUCAGGAGAACACCAGGAUUUUUCGUUAGAGCCUUUCGCCUCCCUAGAUGAGAGCAUCUCCGGCGAGGAUAACACCGAAGUCGCGAACCCGCGGACACGCCGAGCGCGUUCCUUCGCCCAGAGCAGAACCUUGAGGGAAAGAUUUCGCAAGCGCCCAGGACUCUGUUCUAUUUUUUUUUUUCGUUCCUCCCGACGUAACCGGAAAAAUUAGGAAUCAUGUAAAGACACCGCAAGGUGACGCCCGGUUUUCUUUCGAGCUCCUUUAUCCGCGGACAUUUAUGUAACGCGUCCGUUCAGUUUCCUUCUUGGCCGUUCAAAAGCAACCGGGAAAGAUGUAGUUCUUGGGCGCACCUACUUGUGUGAAGACUGGUUCUUUUGCUAAAGACGUGCGUUACAUACAAGUAGGUGGAUGUGUAAGGGGGAUAUCGCGAUCGCGGAUCCUCUCUAAUUUUCAUUUCUUCCUUUAUACAUUUGGUCCGGUCGUUUGUCCAAACCCCCCGAUGGUCGCCCCUCGUGUCCGCGACGCGUUGUUGGCGUGUCCUAGGGAUGUAGAGCUCUGAGAGGGGGGGGGAGAGAGAAAGAGGAGAGGAAGGAGAAAACGCCUUUUCGAGAGGCCCCGCGGGUUUACGUACCAAGUGAUUUUUGCAACUAGUGAGAAAGAGAGAUUUGUACAUAGAAGAUUUUUCAUAUUUGUAUAUGAUUCUAAUCGCGCGUUGAGGGGUUGUAAAGAGGUAUAUUUAUUUUUUUACUUGAAGCACACACGAGGGAAGAGAGCCGAGGUUUUUAGCGAGCUCCGCGCGGCGCCCCGCCACGGGGGGCGGUGGGGGGGUGGGGGGCGCGGGUCGCCACUUUUUUCGGCGAGAUCAUUUUCACGAGGAGUAAUUAAAGGACGAGGAGAGAGAACAAAGAAGAAAAAAAAAACACAAAAACUAAGGGGAAGAACAAGGAAAGACUGAAUUUUCAAAACGAGUUUCGAGCCUUCACCCCUCCCCUUGCUCGUUAGGGGGGAGAGAUUCUAGAGUUUUUCUCACUUCAUCCGUACCUCGGUCGAGCAUUUUAUUUUUAAUUUUUCCGAGGGGGGUGCAUUUUUUUUUUUGUUUACAUUCACCCGACAUUUGUCUGUCAGUCAAGCGGCUCUCGCUCUCGCGGUUUCGAGCGAUUAUUGUAACGCGAAUUGAAUAUCGUUCCAAAGUGCGUGUGAGGGGAAAAAGGCGGAAAUUGGAAUUAAUUUGUCGCGCGCCCUCUGCUCGAGGAGGGCGGGAUUUUUUCGAAAUUGGGGGGCGGGGGGGAUAUAUCGAGCGUUGAGAGACGCAGGGGAGGUUUCGUGGGCACCCCUUUUUCCUUUUUAACACGCGCUAUGGCUAUUGAAGGGAAAUUCGAAAACGGGUCUUCGACGAGACGUGGGCCUUCCGGUAGUCCCGGCGACGUAAUGUUCGGUUCCUUAGAGUCGUUAAGUUCGCCUUAUCGCAGUUAUUGCUUCCACAGUCGCAGAGCGAAUACUAUUUUGUACCUUUUUAAGUUGACUUAAGUGUGUACGCCGAGUUACGUUGUAGGAGGUUAAGGAGAUACGCGCUCUUUCUGUAAUUUUUAAUUUUUAACUCCCACCCUUUUUUUUUCUUUUUUUUUUCCCCCCUUCAAUUAUUAUCCCCCACUCUGUCUUGUAUCCGGGAUUUACUUACUACGAAUGCGCCGUUUCGUAUUAGAUUUCACUCGUUGUCCAAAACCACGUGGUUGCGAUUUUUUUUCUCAUACAGAUGACAUUCGAUUUUACCGCUAAAAAGCUGAGAUAUAGAGGAGAUGGUACAUGUCUGUAGGUCUUAGAGAAUAGCGCUUCGUACGAGAGGAGGAGGAACUGUCCUUUUGCGCUAAGGAAACCUAGAAUUCUCGUGGACCCGUACUCUCUUUUUCCGAGGGAGAGGUGUUUUGGAUUUAUCGAGAGGAAUAUCGCUCAAGUCAAGCGGAGUAAAUAUCGAAAGGGAGAUAUACAGAAGAAGUGUCGUCUCCGAGCGAGCGGCCUCGUCCCGAGGCUGCCGGAAAAUUUUCAGUACAGAGAGGUGUCUAGUCCUUUUUCACGAGAAAACUACAUUUCUGACAUUGCAAAAGAGAGCCUACGGUGAUAUAUAAUAACAUUACGUAUAUAAUUCCCAUGUAGAGUGUCCGAGGAGGCAGAGAGAGAUUGGUACGAGUUACUAAGUUACAUUAGUUUUAGGCGACAAGCAACUUUUAACCAGUAUCGAGAGAUAUAAGAGACCCAUCGAAGAGAGUUUCAUCUGCAGAUAAUACUGUCACUAAGGAGGUGACUUUUAGAGAGGGAGAAGGAAAAUAGAGAGAGACCAGAAACAGACGUCGAAUUUCCGCAAUUUCCUUGUACGGGGCGCAAGUACCCCCUGAGCUCUUCGAAUAGCUCUUUGCAAGGUGUACCUCUUUAACGAAUGAAAACUUAUGUGUAUACGUAUAUACAUAUUCCUUGUGCGUAAGAUUACGGAAGUACAACGAAGAGUAAAUUAACAUCGCGAGGUUGGGAUAAGUGAUUUUCUAAUUUUUUUUUUUGUAUUUGCUGGAAGGGAACUUUUUGCACCAAUUUUGUCCACCGGUCGUCUCAUUGUGCAUCGAUAAUACCGGAGAGAAGUAAUCCUUGGCGAGAGAGGCUCGACUUGUCGGCCUUAUCCUCUCCCGUUUACUUCCCACGACUUUCCAAGACUUUCCAAGACUUUCCCCAAUCCACCUGGAUUUUUUGCGUGUCCAACUAAUCGUGUGCCCAGUCGGCGGGAAAUCUUUCUAAGAGGGAUAUUUCCGACUGAUCGAAGAGUGGAAUAAGUGACGACUGUCGCCUGACUUUAAGGGGGGCCUUCCCCUCUUGAUAGUACACGGGAUAAGUCGCUACUUAUUUCCGAGGUGCUAACACCCUUACUUUUAGGUAUUUUACUGUAAACGGUUUGCAAAGAGCCCCAUGACCGCGCGGGUUCGGCUAGGGUUUUAAUGCUUUCCUGCUGUAAUUUGUCGAUAAGCGACUUCUUAUCCUGCGGUGUGAUGUGAUUGCUUCUGUGUGUUAAUUAUUAGAGCUUUAGAGUCUAAUUAUUAUACGAACAGACGGACGGCCACUGUUACGAAUCUUUGGACUGUUAUCUUGCCGAGCCAUUUUGACCAAAGCGAAGAGACACCGACUUCAUAUUUUUCUUGUUUUCUUUUUUAUUUCCCCCUUUCAUUGGCAUCGAUACUAAAGAUCGUUUGAUAGAUUUCCGCCUCGCUGGAUUUGUGUGACGAGUAAGCUUUAGAUUUUGUAUUUUUUUUAUCUUAGAAUUAAAUUAAAAAUCGUUUGGUAGAUUUCCGCCCCGCUGAAUUUGUGUGGCGAGUAAGCUUUAGGUUCUCUUGGGGUUUUUUUUUCUCUCUAUCUUGGAAUUAAAUUUUAACCGUUGAUUUAGAUUUUUUUUUCUUACUGGUCGAGCCGCUGAUUAGAGUAGAUUUACGACUUUAUUGUAAGCUUCCUUCGCUGACGGAUUAGACUGCGGGACCUUUGGCGACUCUCGACUUUUCCAUGGGUUCAUCUGCUGUAGGGUGAGUCCAAGGGAAAGCCGAGGGUUGCUUUUUGGUGUAGAGGUUUGAUAUUAAGAGACGUCGACGAAGGAGAAUCCUCAGGAUUUAGGGAUAUAAAGACGAGACACGGUAGUGAUUGGGAGAGAGAUGUGAUUGGGGGCGACCGUUUCUCUUUGUUCAGGAUGAAAAAUAUAUUCCGAGGCCAGCGAAGUUUAUAUCUGUAAUCAUGGGUGUAAUUACACCGCCUAGUACCAUCGUUAAUCAUUACACCCGAUCCCAAAUCUCAGCAGUAUAUAACGUCACGCGAUUCUGAAGAAAGUUCUUGAGGAAAGUUGAGCGAAAGAGCGGCGCUCUUCGGUUGCUGAGAGGCGAUAAUAAAAAAACGUGAAUAUAUAUAUCGAAAGUCUAAUACAGGUGAAAGAUAAUAAAGGAUACAUAUCCGUUUCCGAAGCAAGAGUUUUUGUCCCCCCGGUCAUAUCGUGAACAAUAAAUCUCAGGUGAGAGCCACUCGUUAAGCACAAAGGGGCGGGGGGGUGGGGGAGAGUGAUUAGGUGUUUCAUCUGGUAAAAAAUCAAAUUCGAGUCCUAGGUUAAUUAAAAGAAAAAAAGGGUCCGUCCUUUUCGGUGCCUGAGACCCCACGAGGGGGGUCUCAGGACACUCAGGGCUUGACAUAUCGUUUUUAUCAUUGGCAUCGAUUACAAAUUAUCGUUAGGAUCUCAACCAAAAAGUAGGUUAGAGUCGCUGAAGGGGUUUACCUGUACGAGGUGAAAAAUCUUUUUUGGGCAUUAACAGCUUUUAGAAAAGGAAAACAAAAGUGAAAAAAGAGGCCCCCUGGUAUUGAUUACUUUUUUUUUUUCCCGUGCCUUGCUUUGAAGCCAAAAUUUGUAAAUCUGAUUUCUUGUACCUUCGGUAAAAUUAAUUCCGCUCCCGAAAGCAGCCUUCCGUGAAUUUUAAUUAAACGGCGGUAAAUUCUAAUCAGUGACAACUAGUCGCCGAAUAAGGUACGAUAAUUAAGAGGUAGUUUAGUAUAUAUAUACACAUAUAUAUACACAUAAAAAAGAGUAUCGAGUAAUCGCCCGAUAGUUUCGUGAACUUAUAGCUCUUGAAAAAAAAGGAAAUCGGUGCGCGAUAUCGGUGUGGGGAUUAUUAAGGAAUCUUUGCUGAUGGAUCAUCAGGAUCGGUUCCUUGAACGGAGGCACCGAUAUCGCGCACCGAUUUUUUUCCCUUUUUCUUCGGUUUUCAAGGGCGCCGUCAAUUUUUGUGAAGUUACCUCGUUGCGUUUACUCGAACCGAACGAUCUAAUUGGAGGUGUGUGGUGUAGGGCUUGAUAGAGGCGGAUGCUGGAUUUUUUAAGGUAAUAGACGUAGAGGAGAGGAAGCUGAUACCUUGAAAGUAAGGAAGAGUACAAAGGGUUUGCUUAUAAAUUUCCUUUUUCUUUUUUCUUUUCUUUCCUAGGGUCUGAUUCAGAGCUCGAAGACCAGUGCGCGAUAUCGGCACUCCUUAUCGAGGAUUCUUUCCAUUUUUCUCUUCUUUUGCAGCUUGUAUGCAAAGAUCGAUUCGAGUGCCGAUAUCGGGCACUGGCUUUUUCAAGGGCUGUGUCGUCGAACCAUUCCGAUACUCGGUUCGGUAUUAACGUAGAUCUCGAAGAAUAAAGUCGCGAAGGGAUAAAAAGAAGGUAGAGAGAUAAGGAAGGGACCGAGAGAGAGGCGUUAGAUAGUGCUGUGAUCAGAAACUUCCAUAAGCCGAUGUGUGGAAUCUAGGCAAGAUUUUCAGAGCUUUUCUGGUAUAUGGAAAAAGUGGAAAAAAACAAACAGAAAACCUGAAUUUCCGGCACGGAUUUCGAGCGGCGGCUUUUCAAGAGCGUACCGAAAAUUCCGAAAAUACAAUACCUCCGAUAAAUAUCCACGGGCAUUUUCGAGAGAUUUGGGAGGAGAGGAGCAGAAGGGACAGGGAGGGGGAAGGAGUCGCGUGACAUCGGAGUUUUGUGAUAACUGAUAACCGGACAAUACUAAAAAUCCCGAUGUAAAGGACGAGCGAAUUCGAACUCUGCGGUAAAAUUCUUUUAAUUACAGUCGAAUACCCACCGGAAGGGACUUGAUUUAGAAGAACAAGAAAAAAAAAAAAAAACAAGAAAAGUUCCUUGAUGCGCGGCGUCGAUGCAACUUUUUUUUUAUCAGGGUGGAGCAAUCGAUGCGCGCAAUCCCUGGAAAAAAAGUUGCACCGACGUCGCGCAUCGAUCUGCCCGAAAUUCCCACCGGGAUGCGUUUAAUUUUUCUAUUUUUUUUCUUUUUUUUUUUUUUUUCUAUCUCGGUCCUACGUGAGUGAAAUGCGGAAUUGCGGAAAUCGACUUUCGCGAUCGUGGACCUCUUAGGAGGAUGAAAAAAAAAAAUGCCGGGGCGAGAGGGGAGGGAUGUGUCGCAUAUCCGGAGAAAACAUCCUCGGCGGUAUAAAUAAAGCACCCUGAGUCACGAAUCUCGGUGGUCGAUAUUUAUGUACCGGUGAUCUAAUCGGGGUGGCGUCUUCAUUCACCCUGUGCGUCGGGCUCUUUUUUUGGGAUCUUCAGAGACCAAGGAAUCCCGCGGCAGGAGAUUCGCGAUCCUUACCUGGAAGGUGUCCUUGUCCGAUUUGAUCGUGCUCGCGCCGGAAGUCGGGAAGAUGGUCCUCCAGGGCCGGAAGUAUCCGGGCGCGCCGAAGAGCGAUCGCGGUUUCGUCAGAGACAGGUUCGACAGCUCCGACAGGAGAGGGUCAUCUCUUGUCAGGAUGCCGUCGAAGUGUCGGUCCAGCAGGCGAAGCCGCGACCGGUCCAGGUCGUCCCACCAGUCGCGGAACAUGAGAGGCACCACCGCCAUCUGGAAUAAUGAAUAAAAGGGAAAACCAUGAAUUAUAUGAAACACGGACACACCAGAGACAGAGAGCAGGGUCUCCCGUCGAUCGUCACCUCUUGCGGCCUACUCUAUAAUCCGUGAAAAUGAAUGAAAAUGCGGAAAAAAAAAAAAAGAAACGAAUGGAAGAUGUGUGGAGAAUGCCGGGGAUUUGUAUGUCUUAUCCGUGACGGGAUGCUGGGAGGAGAGGUAAGGGAUUUGCGAAGGGAUCGGAUGUGGAAAGGCAGGAGGGAUGAGUCUCGUGUCUUAAGGGUUACGGUAGAAUACUUUACGGUGUACUCUAUGGCGGUAGGAUACGUUAGGGUGUAUGGUGUGGUAGGAUAAGCUCCGAAGAAAAAUCGAGAGAUAUUACAUUUUAAAAACCCUUUGCGAAGUUAAGGGCUGAGGUGUUUCCCGAUUUGCAGUCCAACGUAGGUCCUAUGUCGAGCGGGGAGUGAAUAAUGAUAAUCAAAAAAUAAACAAUAGGAAAUCGACGGUUUUUUCAUGGGAUGUGAACGAUCAGGGGAGACAGGGGGAGAGAUCGAGCGGAUUCGAGACGAGAGAGAUGAAUCUGGGAAGACUUGGAAAUGAGGGAUACGAGGGAGGUGGUGAUACUUUGAAAGGGAUUAGGAAAAGAGGCUGAUUAGGGAAUGAAAGCGCGAUAACGCGCCGGAGGAAGAGAGAGAGAGCGGCUUUUCGAGAUGUGACAAUUCGCAUGUACAUGUACACGCACACGUUGAUUCACUCACUUUAUCGAACAACGAACUUCUUAGGGCCCCCAGCACUGAUAAUACAAUCACAGUCUAUGAGAUAUAUAUCUAUAUAUCUGCCCCCCCCCCCUACUGUUCGACAAUUUAUUAAGGAAUAAUUUUUCUCUCGCGAGUAGCCUACCAGCAAUUAGCUGCGGCCUUAUUAAGAUAAAAACCGGUAAACACUUCGUUAGUACACUAAUUGUCCAAGCCUUAUUAGCGAUCUAAUGGUACCGUCAACACGAGUUGCAUGUUAAUUGCGUUACGUUUAACCGGUAAUUAAUUUACGCUGUACUUCUAGUGCCUUAACUUUGGAUUAUUUUCUUCUUUUUUUUUUAUUCCUUUUGUCUUUCUUAAUUUUCUCUUAGUGCCAAUCGUUGGAUCGAUAUGUAAUUAUUUCCUUUCUUUCAUAAUUGGAGAGUUUCACGCGUAUAUACACGAGCACACACUAAACACACGUACACUUCGCACGUUAUCGAACAUGUUAACUAACUACUCGGUGCGCGGUAGUCUAGGAUUAAGAACUAUAAACGUGGGCGCUUAUCAAGCGGGUGGUUUUUAAGCCGUAAUCGGAGCGUUAACUUUGCGCCUUAAGGAAGUAGGAAUUAACCACGGCAGGUGGAGGAGGGAGAGGAUUAGCUAAACGUACUGGGCACCAUUUCAAUGGCGACGAGUACUCCGCGAAAAAUCCGUGGAUGCUUUCUUUCUUUUUUCUUCAUCUCCGACCUUUACUCUCUAUACACGCACUAAAACUAGCCUUACAAUUAGUGGAAGUCGUGCGUCUUGUAUCGUGUAUGCUAAUUAAAGGUAGUCUCAGUGUUUAAGGGAUACUCGAGAGCGGGAGCAAACAAAGUUACAUGUAGGACGUAAUUCACCAGAUAAUUGAGGGCGUGGAGAUGGGGAAAGAUAAAGUAGCGAGAAAGGGUGUUGAGAGGGACGGCAUUUCCUAUUGACUGUUUAAAUCCGUGCAAAACUUACAUCGGUGGAUAUGAGACUUUUCAUCAUCAACGGUCGCGUAAAUUCGCGACGACAGGCGAGACAUCGGCGGUCCCGAUAACGUUAACGAGAUCGAUCUUAAUAAUUGCCCAUGAAACGCGGGGCAGAGACCACGUGUUCGCCAAACGUCAAAAUCAGCUGAUCGCGACAGCCGAGACAGGAAUUACGUCGCCGUAAGUUUUCUCAAAUUGUCCUGUACGUUUCAACUGAUAGAACAUCGCGGUGAAAUACAAUAAAAAAAGAACAUCGAUACUAAGAGAACAAAUAAAUAAAUAAAUAAAUCAGGGAGCGUACAAGGGCGUGAUUGAAUAAGUAUCUAUCCGGAUCAGCUGAUAGCCGCACAUCUCGAGACACCGAGAGUCGUACCAAGGCGCUUCCAUUUUUUAAACAAUUUGCUUAAACGCGUCUUACAAUUAUCCAGACUAACUCGCAGGUCGACUCGAGUCGAUUGAUCGAUCGCGGAAGGUUUGACGCGCGCGAAUUUAUUAAAUACAGUCAGUUUAGAUGGGGAAUAAAGAGAGAGAGAGGGGAAUAAUCAUCGAAACAGGAAAGACGUAACUCGACGACCGGUGGAGGUGCGAUGAGCGAUUUCUCAGAUACCAAACUAGGUAAAAAGCGAUGCCUAUCACUCGCUGAUAAGACACCGAGGGAAAUGGGAAAAAAAAAAAAAAAUUCAAAAUCGAAUUCGGCUGAUCGUUGCCGAAUCCUUCGCGAAGCCGAUCGAGUCGCGUCGUCUGUUGCGAAUCCUUAUCGCACUUAAGUCGUGUCUUACGAUUAGUCGAGGUAUAUUUAAAGCAAAAAUAUAUAUGGUUAAGGAUAUCAGGCUCUGCAGUUUAAGCUCGCGUUAUAAAAUGGUGUAUACCCAGCGUUAAGUAUAUCAUUCGUAUCUAAGGAACGUGCACCAGCAGAGAGCGAUUAGUCAGCUAAUAACCGAUAAUAACGAUUUUAGGCGGGUCCCCGGGUUAGCCUGGCGCACCUGCCCACUAAUUAGAGGGUUUAACUCCUAGGAUUUAUCGUGUGUUAAGUUAAAUAAGCGUACGGUGUGUUGCCGACGAGGUGAACUAUCGACGGGGAAACUCGGUCUUCGGUGCCGUGUACUUUUUUUUUUUUUGCAGGGCGAGAUUAUCCGCUCCGAGAGAUUUGAGACGCAGCUCUUCCGGCUGGAUCCUUUUCGACUAUGAUCUCGAUUUGGAUGCCGGGGCCUUUUAAAUAGGCACGAUGUAUGUCCCUGGUGGGGGUGUCUGACGUUUCCGAGGAGACGCGUAUGACGUUUACCGCUGACUGGUUUUCCGAAAAUACACCCCCCGAAAUGUGACUUCCGGUGUGUAACGAUUCGCGAUCUGGCGCUUCUCUGGGAAUACCGAGAGUGCCAGCAGCCACGAGAUGAAUCUCUCUCUCCCAGUGGCCGGACAUCCGACACGCGGAAAGGGGUUUACAUGGUGUACCGUCGAGGAGUGUAAAACAUAAACGAAAACGUAAAAAAAAAAA